AUUGAACGCUGGCGGCAUGCCUUACACAUGCAAGUCGAACGGCAGCACGGGAGCAAUCCUGGUGGCGAGUGGCGAACGGGUGAGUAAUAUAUCGGAACGUGCCCAGUCGUGGGGAUAACGUAGAGAAAUUUACGCUAAUACCGCAUACGAUCUAAGGAUGAAAGCGGGGGACCGUAAGGCCUCGCGCGAUUGGAGCGGCUGAUAUCAGAUUAGGUUGUUGGUGAGGUAAAAGCUCACCAAGCCGACGAUCUGUAGCUGGUUUGAGAGAACGACCAGCCACACUGGGACUGAGACACGGCCCAGACUCCUACGGGAGGCAGCAGUGGGGGAAUUUUGGACAAUGGGCGAAAGCCUGAUCCAGCAAUGCCGCGUGCAGGAAG
rnacentral:rRNA from 1 species